UACGGGGGGGGCAAGCGUUGUUGGGAAUUACUGGGCGUAAAGGGCUCGUAGGCGGCCAACUAAGUCGGACGUGAAAUCCCUCGGCUUAACCGGGGAACUGCGUCCGAUACUGGAUGGCUCGAGUGUGGGAGAGGGAUGCGGAAUUCCAGGUGUAGCGGUGAAAUGCGUAGAUAUCUGGAGGAACACCGGUGGCGAAGGCGGCAUCCUGGACCACGACUGACGCUGAUGAGCGAAAGCCAGGGGAGCAAACGGG
rnacentral:rRNA from 1 species